CCUACGGGUGGCAGCAGUGAGGAAUAUUGGUCAAUGGGCGGGAGCCUGAACCAGCCAAGUCGCGUGAGGGACGACGGUCCUAUGGAUUGUCAACCUCUUUUGUCGGGGAACAAAGGCGCCCACGGGUGGGCGGAUGAGUGUACCCGAAGAAAAAGCAUCGGCUAACUCCGUGCCAGCAGCCGCGGUAAUACGGAGGAUGCGAGCGUUAUCCGGAUUUAUUGGGGUUAAAGGGUGCGUAGGCGGACAGUCAAGUCAGCGGUAAAAAUGCGGUGCUCAACGCCGUACAGCCGUUGAAACUGGGGGGGGGGAGGGGGCGAGAGGGAUGGGGGAUGCGGGGGGUAGGGGGG
rnacentral:rRNA from 1 species